AUUGAACGCUGGCGGCAGGCCUAACCCAUGCAAGUCGAACGAGUGGCGUACGGGUGAGUAAUGUCUGGGAAACUGCCUGAUGGAGGGGGAUAACUACUGGAAACGGUAGCUAAUACCGCAUACCAUCGGAUGUUCCCAGAUGGGAUUAGCUAGUAGGUGGGGUAACGGCUCACCUAGGCGACGAUCCCUAGCUGGUCUGAGAGGAUGACCAGCCACGCUGUAACUGAGGCACGGUCCAGACUCCGACGUGAAGCAGCAGUGGGGAAUAUUGCACAAUGGGCGCAAGCCGAAUGCAGACAUGACGCGUGUAUGAAGAAGGCCUUCGGGUUGUAAAGUACUUUCAGCGGGGAGGCGUUACCCGCAGAAGAAGCACCGGCUAACUCCGUGCCAGCAGCCGCGGUAAUUC
rnacentral:rRNA from 1 species